rnacentral:tRNA from 1 species
GCCGGCUUAGCUCAGUUGGUAGAGCAUCGCAUUCGUAACGCGGAGGUCGUAGGUUCAAGUCCUAUAGCCGGCA